rnacentral:rRNA from 1 species
CGUAGGUGGUUUGAUAAGCGAGAUGUGAAAGCCCCGGGCUUAACCUGGGAACGGCAUUUCGAACUGUCAGGCUAGAGUAUGGUAGAGGAGUGUGGAAUUUCCUGUGUAGCGGUGAAAUGCGUAGAUAUAGGAAGGAACACCAGUGGCGAAGGCGGCACUCUGGACCAAUACUGACACUGAGGUGCGAAAGCGUGGGGAGCAAACA